UGAGGAAUAUUGCACAAUGGGCGCAAGCCUGAUGCAGCGACGCCGCGUGGGUGAUGAAGGUCUUCGGAUCGUAAAGCCCUUUUUCUGCGUGACGAGACAGGACGGUAGCGCAGGAAUAAGUCUCGGCUAACUACGUGCCAGCAGCCGCGGUAAAACGUAGGAGACGAACGUUAUCCGGAGUUACUGGGCGUAAAGGGCGUGUAGGCGGUUUGUUAAGUCUGGCGUGAAAGCUCUCGGCUAAACCGGGAGAGGUCGUUGGAUACUGGCGAACUAGAGGAUGGUAGAGGCGUGUGGAAUUCCGGGUGUAGUGGUGAAAUGCGUAGAGAUCCGGAGGAACACCAGUGGCGAAGGCGACACGCUGGGCCAUACCUGACGCUAAAGCGCGACAGCAUGGGGAGCAAACGGGAUUAGAUACCCAAGUAGUCCCUGAGCGGGCUGGCAAGGCGCAU
rnacentral:rRNA from 1 species